GCCCGCCUAGCGCCCGCGCCCUGGGACGUCCGGGGGCCUGUGACCCGGAGGCGCUGGGGCUGUCCUGGGUCGUCACAUGCGAGAAAUCGUCUCACCCCAGCCAGUGUGACGGAGUGAGAGCAAAAGAAAGUUUUGAUAGCAGCGUACGAUUUAUAUUCAGCUGUAUGCUGGGCAGGUCCAACUUGGCAUUUCUUGGCUGUAUCUCUGAAGGAAAGUCAUCUUAAUCUCUAUGAGCCUCCAUUUCCUCAGCUGUAAAAUGGGAAGAUCUUCCUCACACUGCUGUGGAGAGGAAAUGGCAGCCUAACUCCAGGCAGGGCCCGGGCUCAGAAGGGGGUCUACAGGGCUGAAGAGGCAGCUGGCCAGAGAUUCCACAGGAAGCAUCUUGUUGACACAUCUUCAUCACUUUGGAAUUUGAGCAACAACAUUUACCCCUUCUGAAACUCACCCAGAGGAAGCGGAUUUUCUGACGCAUAUGAAGAGUGAGAACUGUCUACAUCUAAGUCUUCUUUGAGAACAAUACCAGCUGAGCGGCUAUUUACAUUCCAGCUUCUUUUGAGAAUCUCUGAAGAUGAUUAAGUCAUUGUCAGCUGGUAAGGGUUGGUCUCACCACUUCUCAUGUUGGAUCAUUGAGGCCCAGAACCAUAUCCUGCUCCACAAGCCUCGUCCUUGGCAAGAAGUUGCACCUGCCCAGAGAGAAAACCUUUUGAAACUGGCACAAAGGCACUGGAGAGACUGGCAGGGCCCCCUACUUGACGAUCUGGCUCAUCCAUCUGCACACUGACCACGCUAAGAGCUGUCUGCAGUGAUGGAAACCUUCUCUAGCUGUGCUGUCCUCUAUAGUGGCACCAGCUGCCUGUGGCUACUGAGCACUUCAACUGUGGCUGCAGAGACUAUGUUAAAUUGUAUUUAAUCAUAAUUAAUUUAAUUGUAAACAACUACAUGUGGCUAGUGGUUUCUGUACUGGGCACUGCAGGUGCACAUUUCCUGCUGGCCAUGGACAGUAAGCUCCAUAAGAGACUAAUUGUGCCUGGUUUGCUUAUAGGCUUAUCCUCAGCACCUGCACCAGCCUAGAAUAUGAUUGGCACUCUAUUAAUUAAAAGUUCCCAGGUAAAUGAAUUAGUGGAUUCUCUGUUUCCUCCACUAUGCCACAACCUCCUUAAGGGCAGAGAUGGUGUCUUCAAAAAAAAAAAAUUCUGGUCAAAAACACAUAAGAUCUACCACCUUCACCAUUGUUGUGUCCAGUUCAGUAGUAUUAACUACACUUACAUUGUGAUACAACAAAAGAUUGUGUCUUUUUACAUUCUUAGGACCCAGCACAGUGUCUGGCACAUAAUCUUAGUAAACACUGGCAGAGCACAUGCCUUUGCCAAGGCCAGAACAGAGGUUCAGUGCCAUCCAUUACCACCCUUUCACACAUCCACUGGGGCUUUAAAAACAACCUGGAAUGAAAGCUGUUGAGUCUAGAGAAAUGGGCUACAAAGAAGGUUUACAAGAUAAUCUAUUAAGAAUAGGGAAUACAGGCCGGGCACGGUGGCUCACACCUGUAAUCCCAGCACUUUGGGAGGCUGAGGUGGGUGGAUCAUUUGAGGUCAGGAGUUCGAGACCAGCCUGGCCAAUGUGGUGAAAUCCUGUCUCUACCAAAAAUUAUCCAGGCAUGGUGGUGCGUGCCUGUAGUCCCAGCUACUUGGGAGGCUGAGGCAUGAGCAUCGCUUGAACCCGGGAGGCAGAGGUUGCAGUGAGCCGAGAUCGCGCCACUACACCCCAGCCUGGGUGACAGAGCAAGACUCCGUCUCAAAAAAAUAAAAAAACCUAAAAUAAAGCUUAAUACACAUGACAUAUGGAUUGGCAGUCACACAUAAAUAUGAUUGAUAAGGAUACAAAUAUUUGGAGGUGCUGCCUGACCAUCUGUUGCUGAUUAUGUGGAGAUCACUUGUCUAGGACCCUGAGAUAGACUGAUGUUUCUAACUCUGCCACACACGGUCUCUCCCACCCUCCAGACACUUUCUUCCUUCAGUUCAGGGAACCCUCAAUACACAGUAAGAAUGAAGAGGUUGCAGGUCUGAGCUUGAGGAGGACUGGACUAAAAGGAGUUUAGCCCUGCCAGGGCAUUCCGAGGACUGUGAAGAUCCGGAAUAUUGGCCACAGGCAUCUAUGUAUUUGAAUCAUAUCCAUUUUUGAGCUCACUCCUAGCAGAGGAGUCAAAACUUACGUUCUGGCCCCCAGGUACAUUUCCAGUCUCUUACUCAUAAAAUUGUGACAUACCCCCAGGGGUGCCCAAAGGGGUUUGUGAAUCAAGAUAGUUUGAGGAGAAUCGAUUUUCUGAUCCUCAGUUUUUCUAUGCUCUUUUUCCUAAAAGCGAUAUUCCUAAAAAGGCAUCCAAGACAAGGCAUCCCCUUUCCCAUUUGCUGGGGAAGACAGCUUUACAAGAGAAAGCUGCCCCUCUCACCCAUGUGACCCCCCACUCUGGGGCACUGCCCUAGGGGUAGAAAUCUCCAAGGCAUCAAACAAAGUGACUCCUGGGGGUCAAGUGACAGAGGAGCAAGUCUUUCUGCAAGUCAAGUGGUUUCCAGCUCUGCUUUCAGCAAAAUUGAAAGAGGCACUAAUCAAAUUGCCAGCGGAUCAUAAAAAAACAUUUUGAUAAUAAUGUUAUUAGGCAUAUAACUUGGAAGAAGUUCAAAGAAUUGAAUGGCAUCCUCAUAACAAACUCAUCGGCUUCCAUUUAUUUAUUUAUGUGGACAGUGUUUCUCAAUGUUUAAACCUACAAAAGACUAAACAUGGGAGUAAACUUCAUGUUGAACCUUGUGUGAGUCUAGCAAUAAGUCAUCCACAUAUACAUACACUAAUUGGGAAGAAAACCUGUCCCAACCCCAACUAUUUUAUUAAGAGAUGCAUUUCCAAUAAAAAUUUACCUUUUAUGUUUAAU
rnacentral:lncRNA from 1 species